AUUUUGGGGUUUUCAAGGCUCAAUCCAAAUCUCUCUAAAAUUUAGUAUGAAGAAUGGGAGCUACUUUGGAGUUUAGUUUGAUUGUAAAUAUUGUUGAGGUAGAAGAACCCAAUAAUCCUCAUUAUAACCAUCUCUUUUUCUAGUAAAAGUUUUAUUAGGUUUCGAAAGUGAUAAGAGGGUGAAGGCUUGGAGAAAUAGCCUAAGACCCCUAAAGAAGUAAAGAGAUCAAGCGAAAAAUGGAGUUCAUAGGCAAAGCGACGAGUCACCCCACAGAAGCCACAACUCGUCGGAUAUCAACUGAAGUGGUGAACAGAGAUUAGAGAGAAAGCGAUGAGUCACUGCAUAUUUGUCACGACUAGUCACCAACCCACUAAUGUCAUAUGAUCUAGGCAGUGAGAAAGCGACGACUCGUCGCUUCCUAUUUCACGAGUUGUCACCGGCUCGUAGUUACCUUUUUAUGUGAAAUUCAAUUAUUUUUUUUAGGUUUAAUAUAAAUAGUGGAA